UGCAAAACAAAGCCAAAAAAGAAUUGAGUGCUCUAACAAGGAAGUAUCAAGAGGGAUGGCUCCUUCAACUGAAGCUUCACUUGCAAACUCAGAAGUUAGACCAAUCAAUGGAACUGUGAAGGUGGAAUCUUCUCAGGUUGUUGAUGCCACUUUGGAUCUUGAAACCAACGUCGACAAAGGUCUCUGCACUUUUGAUCUGAAUCUAGAGGUUUGUUCAGAUGAUAUGGAUAGUCCAGGAA
rnacentral:misc_RNA from 1 species